ACCGUACUCCUACGGGAGGCAGCAGUGGGGGAUUUUGGACAAUGGGGGCAACCCUGAUCCAGCAAUGCCGCGUGAGUGAAGAAGGCCUUCGGGUUGUAAAGCCCUUUUGUACGGGAAGAAAUCCUGUCGGUUAAUACCCGGCGGGGGUGACGGUACCGUAAGAAUAAGCACCGGCUAACUUCGUGCCAGCAGCCGCGGUAAUACGAAGGGUGCAAGCGUUAAUCGGAAUUACUGGGCGUAAAGCGUGCGUAGGCGGUUGGCUAAGUCAGAUGUGAAAGCCCUGGGCUCAACCUGGGAAUGGCAUUUGAAACUGGCCGGCUAGAGUGUGAUAGAGGAUGGCGGAAUGCCCGGUGUAGCGGUAAAAUGCGUAGAGAUCGGGAGGAACAUCCGUGGCGAAGGCGGCCAUCUGGAUCAACACUGACGCUGAGGCACGAAAGCGUGGGGAGCAAACAGGAUUAGAAACCCAAGUAGUCCUUGAC
rnacentral:rRNA from 1 species